rnacentral:rRNA from 1 species
UACGAAGGGGGCUAGCGUUGUUCGGAAUUACUGGGCGUAAAGGGCCAGUAGGCGGCCAACUAAGUCCGACGUGAAAUCCCCAGGCUUAACCUGGGAACUGCGUCGGAUACUGGAUGGCUUGAAUUCGGGAGAGGGAUGCAGAAUUCCGAGGUGUGAGCGGUGGAAUGCGUAGAGAUCCGGAAGAACACCGGUGGCGAAGGCGGUUAGCUGGGCAGUUGCUGACACUGAGGCGCGACAGCGUGGGGAGCAAACAGG